rnacentral:rRNA from 1 species
GAUGAACGCUGGCGGCGUGCUUAACACAUGCAAGUCGAACGGAGUUAUCAUUUUUGAAGCGAUUAGCUUGCUAAGAGUGGAAAUGUUGGUAACUUAGUGGCGGACGGGUGAGUAACGCGUGGAGAACCUGCCUUACACAGGGGGAUAACACUUAGAAAUAGGUGCUAAUACCGCAUAAGCGCACAGGACCGCAUGGUCCGGUGUGAAAAACUGAGGUGGUGUAAGAUGGCUCCGCGUCUGAUUAGCUUGUUGGUAGGGUAACGGCCUACCAAGGCGACGAUCAGUAGCCGGCCUGAGAGGGUGAACGGCCACAUUGGGACUGAGACACGGCCCAAACUCCUACGGGAGGCAGCAGUGGGGAAUAUUGGACAAUGGGGGAAACCCUGAUCCAGCGACGCCGCGUGAGUGAAGAAGUAUUUCGGUAUGUAAAGCUCUAUCAGCAGGGAAGAAAAUGACGGUACCUGACUAAGAAGCCCCGGCUAACUACGUGCCAGCAGCCGCGGUAAUACGUAGGGGGCAAGCGUUAUCCGGAUUUACUGGGUGUAAAGGGAGCGUAGACGGCAUUGCAAGUCUGAUGUGAAAGAUUGGGGCUCAACCCCAGGCCUGCAUUGGAAACUGUAAAGCUGGAGUACAGGAGAGGUAAGCGGAAUUCCUAGUGUAGCGGUGAAAUGCGUAGAUAUUAGGAGGAACACCAGUGGCGAAGGCGGCUUACUGGACUGUAACUGACG